rnacentral:tRNA from 1 species
AGUAAAGUCAGCUAAGUAAGCUCUUGGGCCCAUACCCCAAAAAUGUUGGAUACACCCUUCCUUUACUA